CUGCUGCCUCCCGUAGGAGUUUGGGCCGUGUCUCAGUCCCAAUGUGGCCGUUCACCCUCUCAGGCCGGCUACUGAUCGUUGCCUUGGUAGGCCAUUACCCCACCAACUAGCUAAUCAGACGCGGAACCAUCGUAUACCACCAGUAGUUUUUCACACCGCUUCAUGCGAAGCUGUGCGCUUAUGCGGUAUUAGCACCUAUUUCUAACGUGUUAUCCCCCAGUAUACCGGCAGGUUUUCCACGCGUUACUCACCCGUCCGCCA
rnacentral:rRNA from 1 species